GCUCCGGUAGUCUAGCGGCCAAGGAUAGAAGCCUCUCGAGCUUCUGACACGGGUUCGAAUCCCGUCCGGAGCA
rfam:Euryarchaeota archaeon RBG_19FT_COMBO_69_17 rbg_19ft_combo_scaffold_342, whole genome shotgun sequence.